rnacentral:rRNA from 1 species
UACAGAGGUCUCAAGCGUUGUUCGGAUUCAUUGGGCGUAAAGGGUGUGUAGGUGGCGCGCUAAGUCGGGUGUGAAAUUUCGGAGCUUAACUCCGAAACUGCAUUCGAUACUGGCGUGCUUGAGGACUGGAGAGGAGACUGGAAUUCAUGGUGUAGCAGUGAAAUGCGUAGAGAUCAUGAGGAAGACCAGUGGCGAAGGCGGGUCUCUGGACAGUUCCUAACACUGAGACACGAAGGCCAGGGGAGCAAACGGG